CUGGGAAGUGCCCGUCACGGGAACUCGGAGACAGGUGCUGCAUGGCUGUCGUCAGCUCGUGUCGUGAGAUGUUGGGUUAAGUCCCGCAACGAGCGCAACCCUUGUCAUUAGUUGCCAUCAUUAGUUGGGCACUCUAAUGAGACUGCCGGUGAUAAACCGAGGAAGGCGGGGAUGACGUCAAGUCCUCAUGGCCCUUACAUCCCGGGCUACACACGUGCUACAAUGGCAGGUACAGAGGGCUGCGAAGCCGCGAGGUGGAGCGAAUCCCAGAAAACCUGUCUCAGUCCGGAUUGAAGUCUGCAACUCGACUUCAUGAAGGCGGAAUCGCUAGUAACCGCGAAUCAGCAGGUCGCGGUGAAUACGUUCCCGGGCCUU
rnacentral:rRNA from 1 species